rnacentral:rRNA from 1 species
GAUGAACGCUGGCGGCGUGCCUAAUACAUGCAAGUCGAGCGAACGGACGAGAAGCUUGCUCCUCUGAUGUUAGCGGCGGACGGGUGAGUAACACGUGGAUAACCUACCUAUAAGACUGGGAUAACUUCGGGAAACCGGAGCUAAUACCGGAUAAUAUUUUGAACCUCAUGGUUCAAUAGUGAAAGACGGUCUUGCUGUCACUUAUAGAUGGAUCCGCGCUGCAUUAGCUAGUUGGUAAGGUAACGGCUUACCAAGGCAACGAUGCAUAGCCGACCUGAGAGGGUGGUCGGCCACACGGGAACUGAGACACGGUCCAGACUCCUACGGGAGGCAGCAGUAGGGAAUCUUCCGCAAUGGGCGAAAGCCUGACGGAGCAACGCCGCGUGAGUGAUGAAGGUCUUCGGAUCGUAAAACUCUGUUAUUAGGGAAGAACAAAUGUGUAAGUAACUGUGCACAUCUUGACGGUACCUAGUCAGAAAGCCACGGCUAACUACGUG